GGAAUAUUGGACAAUGGGCGCAAGCCUGAUCCAGCCAUGCCGCGUGUGUGAAGAAGGCCUUCGGGUUGUAAAGCACUUUCAGCGGGGAGGAAGGGGCGUGUGUUAAUAGCACAUAUUCUUGACGUUACCCGCAGAAGAAGCACCGGCUAACUUCGUGCCAGCAGCCGCGGUAAUACGAGGGGUGCAAGCGUUACUCGGAAUUACUGGGCGUAAAGCGUGCGUAGGUGGUUUGUUAAGUCUGAUGUGAAAGCCCUGGGCUCAACCUGGGAAUUGCAUUGGAUACUGGCAGUCUAGAGUGCGGUAGAGGGUAGCGGAAUUCCCGGUGUAGCAGUGAAAUGCAUAGAUAUCGGGAGGAACAUCCGUGGCGAAGGCGGCUACCUGGACCAGCACUGACACUGAGGCACGAAAGCGUGGGGAGCAAAC
rnacentral:rRNA from 1 species